rnacentral:lncRNA from 1 species
AGUAUAGAAACAUUUAGAUAGGAGACAGGUUAUAUUCUUGUCUAUCACCAUGUGCUUUAGUUUUGGUUCGAUUUCUUCCUCUUCCUCUUCCUUUUCCUCUUCCUCUUCCUCCUCCUCUUCCUCCUUCUUCAUCUCCUCCUCCUCUUCUUCCUCACUUUCCUCCUCCUCUUCCUCCUUUUACUAUAAAAGUGUGUGAAAUCUAUCACUUCUUCAUAGGUAAACUGAUGUUGGCAUGGCUAGGGCCAAAUACAGGUAGACAAACAGACACACAAAUAUUAGCAAAUAAAAUUAAUCUUUUUUAAAAAAUCUGUUUUCCAAGAAAAAGAACUGAUUAGAGUUUAAGUUACCGAGGCAAAUACUACAGCUUUCUUCCAUAGUCUAUAACAGUGUACCCCAGAACACGGUGACCUACAACAUAUUUUCAUGUUGUCCAAAAUUCAGGACAUAGCACACUUUAUUCUUCAUGAAAGAAAACAUUUUUCCAAUGUCUUAAACUCUAUUCUGAGAACCCCUAAAUGGUCAGGGUAUUGCAACACUUUUUUCUUAUGAAAAUAUAAGAAAGUAACACACACUUUUAUGAUAGAUGCAAUUUAUAGAAAUGAUAAAAACUAGAGAGGAAAAUAUAACAAUUAAAAAAGACGUGCUUAAUGAGAAGGGCCAUAAGGAACUGAAAGUAACUCCAGGGAAGCAAGGUCUGGCAAACUACCACACACAGCUGUGAUUAAAGCCAGCCCACAAGCUGUUUAUGUAUGGCCUGAGAGUUCAGGGUAGAUUUUAUUUAUUUGUUACAGUUUUAAAAUAUUACACAUGAAAAAAGACGCUCCCUCAGUGGUUUCUCUAAUAGGCAUUAUCCAGAUUUUUAUAGAAGGCUGAGUCCUAUAGUAAGAAAAGCUGAAGGCCAUUGUACCAUGAUGGGAAGGUUAGUGACUCUUAAUGCUUGGAAGUCGCCCACCACAUCAUCAGAACUGGUAUUGAAUUAUUAUAAUUGUUUUUUUUUUCUGGUUUAAAAUCUAUUUAGAGAGAUGGAAAAUAUAGAAAAAAAAGAAUGAAAUCACACAUACUAUACCUUAAUAACUUAUAUUUCCCUCAUUUUACAAAACUGACAUUGAUUACCAGCUCAGUAAGUAAUAGAUAUACGACCAGUAUGUCUGGGUCCCCUAAUCUCAGGAUAGAGGCAACAAUUUUAUAAAUAUGUUAAAUUCUGAGAACCUUAUUAUUAUUAUAAAACCAGCACCAGUGACCCUUCAAAUACUUCUCGGUAUUUAGUUUUUAAGUAACACAGUAGACAUGUGUUUUCUUUACAUUUGAAGACUUGACUGAUAAAGUCCAAGCCAUGACUCUAAAAUAUUUACACUAUUAAUAUAAAAUUUGCAAGUAAAAAUUUCAUCUUAAAACAAAACAGAAAUGAUUUUGCUAUGUUAUUUUGGAUUUUACAAAUAAUUCACAUUUAGGGAAAAGGUAUUUUUUUAGCUCUAAAUAAUGGUUGAUUCAACUAUGUGUAUAAGUAGAUCUAACUGUAUAUAUGCAAGAGAACCCCAAAUAUUGUACAUUUUCAUAAUUCAAUGUGAAUUUCAUACAGAGCAAAAUUUCACCAGAAAAUAAACAUUUUGUUCGUAUC